ACUCCGGAACUUCCCUACUGGCCAGAACACUUAUCCUGCACACUUUGAGCAACUGUUUUGCAAAUAUAAUCAUUUAAACCUGUCAUACUGACCAGUAACCGAGGCCUAGAAUACGACUUAUCACAUUUAAUAGAAGAUCCAAAAUUGGAUCUUUGAGAUCUUGUAAAGAUAUUAAAAAGAUAUGUGUCAUUAAUACAGGAUCUUAAAAAAGAUACGCGUCAUUAAUACAAAAUCUUAAAAAGAUACGCGUAAUUAAUAAGCUUAGCCACUUGCCAUUUUUUUAUGCAUAUGUACACGCCACUUGUCAUCUUAUAUUUAUAUGUAUAUGUACUUUUAUGCAAAUCUCUCUCUCUACUCCCUAAAUAUCUCCCACCCUUCCCUCUAUAUUAUUUCUUUUCCAAAAACCGUUCUCUCUAUCUCUGCAAUGAAGAAGACAAGGUUUUUCCUCUCAGCCUUAAUUCAAGAAACCGAGAACCCAACUCGACAAGGGGAAACUACCGUUCAUUCGCUCAGAAUUUGCUCAAAAUCCGUUCAAGGCUAUCUACGUGAGUUAAGGGUGGAGUCAGGAAAAUUCAAGUUAAGGAGUUUUAAGCGAACGAGGUCGUGAAGAGGCGUCUACAGUGGGAAGAGAAGAGAGAGGACAAAAGACAUGAUGUUUCUGUCACAUCAAUUAGGAUUGGCGUCUCGUCCGCAGUACAUGCAGCAGGUGGGAUGCAGUGGCGGCCUUACAAAAGGUCGAGUUUGCCCUUUCAAGCCCUGAGGGUAUUAUGGUCCGGAAAAAUAAGGUUUGUGAUUAUAUAUUUUGUUAGAUACCUGUGAUGGGAUUUUUAAAUGUUAUGGGUCUCUGCUGUUACAAGGCUAAAAGUUAGGGACCUUUUGUACCGUUCAUUCUAAUUUUAAAAUUAUAGCAAAAAAUUUUAAUUA